CCUGGUUGAUCCUCCCAGUAGCAUAUACUUGUCUCAAAGAUCAAGCCAUGCAUGUCUAAAUGCACAAGGCUGGUACACAGAAACUGUGAAUGGCUCAUUAAAUCAACUAUUGGUGACUUUUGGUCACUCCAACCAUUACUUGGAUAACUGUGGUAAUUUCAGAGUUAAUACAUGCCGUUGAGCACUGACCUCCAGGGAUGCAUGCGUUUAUUGGAUCAAAACCAACCUGGGCUCAUCCAGCUGCUUUGAUAACCUCCGACCAAUGGCAUGCCAUGUGGUGGUAAAGACUCAUUCGAAAGUCUGCCCUAUCAACUUUCCAUGGUACUUACUGAGCCUACCGUGGUAAACACUGGUAAUGGGGACUCAGGGUUUGAUUCUAGAGAGGGAGCCUGAAAAAUGGCUACCACAUCCAAGGAAGGCAGCAGGCAUGCAGAUUACCUACCCCUGACCCUGGAAGGAUAGAGACAAAAAAUAACAUUCCAGGAUUGUUUCAAGGCCUUGUAAUUGGAAUGAGUAUACUUUAAAUCCUUUAAAGUAGGAUCGAUUGCAGGGCAAGUCUGCUGUCAGCAGCUCUGGUAAUUACAGCUCCAAAAGUGUAUACUGCAGCUAAAAAGCUAGUAGUUGGAUCUUGGGAUGGAGCUGGCAGUCCACCGUGAGGCAAGCUAUCACCUGUCCCGGCCCCUGCCUCUUAGCACUGCCUUGCUGCUCUUAACUGAAUGUCCUUGGGAUCUACAUUGAAAAAAAUUAGCGUUUUCAAAGCAGGCUGGUCACUAGAAUACUCCAGCUAGGAACAAUGGAAUAGCACUCUGGGUCUAUUGUGUUUGUUUUAGGAACUGGGGCCAUGAGUAAGAGGGGUGGCCGGGGGCAUUUGUAUUGUGCUGCUAGAGGUGAAAUUCUUGGAUGGGGGCAAGACAAAUGAAAGCAAAAGAGUUUGCCAAGAAUGUUUUUUUAUAAUUAAGAAUGAACAUUGGAGGUUCGAAGAUGAUC
rnacentral:rRNA from 1 species